AGCAUAAUGAUUAAAAUUGGCAGGCAUCCUACAGGAAACAAACAUCAAGUGUGAUUACAGAAUUUACUGGGAAAAACUGAAAUCUGAAGAUUAACUCUGGCUUUGGCUGAAAAAGAAAAUCCAGGUCUCACACAAGACAUCAUUAUGAAAAUUUUAGAGAAAAAAAGCGUGGAAGUUAACUUCACGGAGUCCCUUCUUCGUAUGGCAGCUGAUGAUGUAGAAGGU
rnacentral:lncRNA from 1 species